rnacentral:rRNA from 1 species
CCUACGGGAGGCAGCAGUGGGGGAUAUUGCACAAUGGGCGGAACCCUGAUGCAGCGACGCCGCGUGGGUGAAGGAGCGUUUCGGCGCGUAAAGCCCUAUCGGCAGGGAAGAAGAUGACGGUACCUGACCAAGAAGCCCCGGCUAACUACGUUCCAGCAGCCGCGGUAAUAAGUAGGGGGCCAGCGUUAUCCGGAUUUACUGGGUGUAAGGGGGGCGCAGACGGCAAUGCAAGGCAGUAGUGAAAGUCCGGGGCCCAACCCCGGGACUGCACUUGGAACUGGAUGGCUGGAGUACAGGAGGGGCAGGCGGAAUUCGUGGUGUAGCGGUGAAAUGCGUAGAUAUUAGGAGGAACACCGGUGGCGAAGGCGGCCUGCUGGACUGUGACUGACGUUGAGGCCCGAAGGCGUGGGGAGCAAACAGGAUUAGAUACCCUUGUAGUC